ACGCGUAAAGAACUUGCCUCACAGCUAGGGACAACAUUUGGAAACGAAUGCUAAUACCUGAUAUUAUGAUUAUAUGGCAUCGUAUAAUUAUGAAAGCUAUAUGCGCUGUGAGAGAGCUUUGCGUCCCAUUAGCUAGUUGGAGAGGUAACGGCUCACCAAGGCGAUGAUGGGUAGCCGGCCUGAGAGGGUGAUCGGCCACAAGGGGACUGAGACACGGCCCUUACUCCUACGGGAGGCAGCAGUGGGGAAUAUUGGACAAUGGACCGAGAGUCUGAUCCAGCAAUUCUGUGUGCACGAUGAAGUUUUUCGGAAUGUAAAGUGCUUUCAGUUGGGAAGAAACAAAUGACGGUACCAACAGAAGAAGUGACGGCUAAAUACGUGCCAGCAGCCGCGGUAAUACGUAUGUCACGAGCGUUAUCCGGAUUUAUUGGGCGUAAAGCGCGUCUAGGUGGUUAUGUAAGUCUGAUGUGAAAAUGCAGGGCUCAACUCUGUAUUGCGUUGGAAACUGUAUAACUAGAGUACUGGAGAGGUAAGCGGAACUACAAGUGUAGAGGUGAAAUUCGUAGAUAUUUGUAGGACUUGCCGAUGGGGAAGCCA
rnacentral:rRNA from 1 species